CCCGCGAUAGCUCAGUUGGUAGAGCGGAGGACUGUAGCUGUUACAAGAGAUAUCCUUAGGUCACUGGUUCGAAUCCGGUUCGCGGGA
rnacentral:tRNA from 1 species